rnacentral:guide_RNA from 1 species
AAAUCAACAAAACUGAUAUCCUCUGUAGUAGAUAGUGAUAUU